AAAUGAAAAAAAAAACCUAAGGCUGCCCUAGUAACUUGCCUAUAAAGGCAUAGUUACUUGAGGCUUAAUUAAGAUUUUAAUGAGAUAAAAAAUCAGAAAAAACCAAGGCGGCUAAACAUUUUCUAGAAAAUACUAUUGCAUUGCUUCUACUUUGGUAUUUUCUUGAAGUUUCUCUAAUCCCGAAGCAAUUUCUGGUUCAUUUGAGGUUUAGAAGAUGAAUUGAAUCUGGUUUUAAGGUAUGAUUUUGAAGUUUCUUGGUUAUAUUCAAGUGAAACUGUUCUAGUUGACUGGUUGAGCUUUGUUUCUAGGUUUUACAAUUGAUUCACUUGAUUAUUUUCGCCGUUGAUUCCUACUGCUGCUGAUGUUCUUUUCUCUCACUACCUCCUUAUUUUUCCUGUUAAUUUUCAGGUACUUCUUAGACCUAUAAAUGUAUGGUAUGUGAGGUUGAGGCCUUGAAAUCAUUUGGGAGCUCAAGAUUGAUGUUAAAUAGUAUUUUGUGUAUUCCCUAAAGAAUGUUAGUAUCAAUUUAUAUAUGGCCGCGGUUUGCUCUUUAUGUAUGUUAUGGAGGAGUACAUGAAGUCAUGUGUAUUUUCGUUUUUGGAGGGACUUUGCAAGUCAUGUACCAAUUACCCUUUUGGUCUGUUUGCAUUUAGUCUAAGAAAAUAAUCCAUCCUUAAUAUAAACAUAUUCCUUCAUGUGAUUAAAUUUUGUUGCUU
rnacentral:lncRNA from 1 species